rnacentral:siRNA from 1 species
UGGAAUACGAGGAACAGACUUGUA